rnacentral:lncRNA from 1 species
UAAAUAUAAUGUUAAUAAAUUUAAAAUUUAAUUAAGUUAUCUAUAAUACUUAUAUAUAAUGUCUUAUUAUGAUUGAUAACAUUUUUAUAUGAACUAUUUAAUAAGUGUUUUAAAGGGACAAACAUAAUAUAUUGAUAUAGUCAAUGUUAGAAAUCCACCGCAAUAUAUAAAGAAUUUCUAUCAAUUUUGAUGAACAAGAUUGUUACAACCACACAAUGACAAUGAAAAAAUAAUUGAAAAAGAAAAAAAAGAACGAUAGAGAAGAAGAAAAUUUUCUACAGAGUUUCUCUCUGUCGACAAUCUUCUUUUAUUCAUUUUUCAACUGCAAAAUUUUGUGAAUACAAUGUUAUAAAUACAUCAAUAUUACAAGAAUAAUAAGGGUUACUCAACAUACUAAGCGAUUCGAUAUUUCCUUACUUCUGUCGAACAAUUUGUUUCGAUAGAAGAAAUAACAAUUCUUCGUCAAGAGACACUCAAUAAUUAUAUAAUAUUAUUAUUAUGUAGUGAUUUUCCAUUUUCU